UGGGGAAUAUUGCACAAUGGGCGAAAGCCUGAUGCAGCGACGCCGCGUGAGUGAUGAAGUAUUUCGGUAUGUAAAGCUCUAUCAGCAGGGAAGAAAAUGACGGUACCUGACUAAGAAGCUCCGGCUAAAUACGUGCCAGCAGCCGCGGUAAUACGUAUGGAGCAAGCGUUAUCCGGAUUUACUGGGUGUAAAGGGAGUGUAGGCGGUCUAGAAAGUCUGAUGUGAAAACCCGGGGCUCAACCGCGGGAUUGCAUUGGAAACUUUUAGACUAGAGUAUCGGAGAGGCAAGCGGAAUUCCUGGUGUAGAGGUGAAAUUCGUAGAUAUCAGGAAGAACAUCGGUGGCGAAGGCGGCUUGCUGGACGACAACUGACGCUGAGGCUCGAAAGCGUGGGAAGCGAACA
rnacentral:rRNA from 1 species